rnacentral:rRNA from 1 species
AUUGAACGCUGGCGGCAGGCUUAACACAUGCAAGUCGAGCGGAGACUUCGGUCUUAGCGGCGAACGGGUGAGUAAUACCUAGGAAUCUGCCCAUUAGCGGGGGAUAACGUUUCGAAAGGGACGCUAAUACCGCAUACGCCCUACGGGGAAAGCAGGGGAUCUUCGGACCUUGCACUAAUGGAUGAGCCUAGGCCGGAUUAGCUAGUUGGUAGGGUAAAGGCCUACCAAGGCGACGAUCUGUAGCUGGUCUGAGAGGAUGGCCAGCCACACUGGAACUGAGACACGGUCCAGACUCCUACGGGAGGCAGCAGUGGGGAAUAUUGGACAAUGGGGGCAACCCUGAUCCAGCCAUGCCGCGUGUGUGAAGAAGGCCUCGGUUGGUAAGUACGACUUUAAGUACGAGGAGGAA